GCUGGUGUGGCUCAGUGGAUAGAGCGUCAGCCUGUGGACUGAAGGGUCCCGGGUUCGAUUCCCGGUCCAGGG
rnacentral:tRNA from 1 species